AGCAGCCGCGGUAAUUCCAGCUCCAAUAGCGUAUAUUAAAGUUGCUGCAGUUAAAAAAGCUCGUAGUUGAAUUUCGGGAUCAAUAUGUUGGUCGUGCCUCGGUACGUACUAGCUUAUUGGUUUCUUCCUUCUGACGAACCAUAAUGUCAUUUAUUUGGUGUUAUGGGGGAAUCAGGACUGUUACUUUGAAAAAAAUUAGAGUGUUUAAAGCAGGCUCACGCUUGAAUACAUUAGCAUGGAAUAAUGAAAUAGGACGUUUGAUUCUAUUUUGUUGGUUUCUAGGAUCGACGUAAUGAUUAAUAGGGAUAGUUGGGGGCAUUAGUAUUCAAUUGUCAGAGGUGAAAUUCUUGGAUUUUAUUGAAGACUAACUACUGCGAAAGCAUUUGCCAAGGAUGUUUUCAUUAAUCAAGAACGAAAGUUAGGGGAUCGAAGACGAUCAGAUACCGUCGUAGUCUUAACCAUAAACUAUGCCGACUAGGGAUCGGAUGAUGUUAAUUUUUUAAUGACUCAUUCGGCUACC
rnacentral:rRNA from 1 species